rnacentral:rRNA from 1 species
GACGAACGCUGGCGGCGUGCUUAACACAUGCAAGUCGAACGAAGUGGCGAACGGGUGAGUAACGCGUAAUCAACCUGCCCUUCAGAGGGGGACAACAGUUGGAAACGACUGCUAAUACCGCAUACGGAAGGAGGGGAUGGCGUCUGAUUAGCUAGUUGGGGGGGUAACGGCUCACCAAGGCGAUGAUCAGUAGCUGGUCGGAGAGGAUGACCGGCCACAUUGGGACUGAGACACGGCCCAGACUCCUACGGGAGGCAGCAGUGGGGAAUCUUCCGCAAUGGCCGAAAGCCUGACGGAGCAACGCCGCGUGAAUGAUGACGGCCUUCGGGUUGUAAAGCUCUUUUAAGCGGGACGCUGUACCGCAGUAGAAGGCCACGGCUAACUACGUGCCAGCAGCCGCGGUAUUU